GAACAAAAACGGAAACCCUAUCGUCGUUUCAAGGUUUAUUACCAGAAAGAAACCCUUGUAAAAGAAACGCAGGUUUCGAUUCGACAGCACCAAAAAUAUAUAAAAAAUCAACAAAUUCCCGAGAUCAGUGUUCCAUUUCUUUGGUAUUCAGAAAAGGCUCGGAAGUAUGCCAUCAGAAUCUGAUAAGUGGGGAUGGGAACAUGUUAGCGUGUUUGGUGGAUUUGACAGGGGAAGUGGUACAAAAAGGUGGAAAUGUAACCACUGUAAUCUACGAUAUAAUGGGUCUUAUUCACGUGUCAGGGCCCACCUACUAGGGUUCUCAGGUGUUGGGGUCAAAAGCUGCCCUGCAAUAGACAGGUCUUUACGAGAAGCAUUUCAGGUCCUAGAAGAGGAGCGUGUUUCACAGAAGAAGAAAAAGAAUUCUGUCACUGGGAAGCCUUGUAAACGCACUCGGACUUCUCAGCCAGCUCUUGCCUGGAAAACCAUCACAAAAGAAGAUAUAGAUGACAUAGUAGCUAGAUUUUUUUAUGCUGAUGGAUUAAAUAUUGAUAUCGUCAACUCUCCUUACUUUCGUGAAAUGGUGAAAGCAAUUGGUGCUUUUGGGUCUGGGUAUGAACCCCCAUCAAUAGAUAAGCUGUCUGAUUCUUUUUUAAGCAAAGAGAAAGCGAGGAUUGAAAAAUCAGUAGCUCUAGUUAGGGAGUCAUGGCCACAUACAGGAUGCACAAUACUGUGUGCCAGUCGCUUAGAUGGUGCAUCAGGCAGCGUACAUGUCAAUAUAUUUAUCUCCAGCCCAAGGGGACUUGUAUUUUUAAAGGCAGUUGAUGUCAAUGAUACUGACGAGGGAGAGCACGUGUUUACUGGUGCUCUCGCUGAUACUAUUAUGGAAGUUGGCCCCACAAAUGUUCUUCAGAUAGUUUCACAUCUAGGCAAUGCAUGCAAAUCAUCCGAGUCCUAUUUAUCGUCAAAGUUCCCUAAUAUCUUCUGGUCUCCUUGCACUUCACACUCUGUCCUCAUGUUGAUGGAAGAAAUGGCCGAACUGGAAUGGAUAAAACCUGUUGUCUUGUGUGCCAAGGCAAUUGAGCAAUGCAUGAUCACAUAUCAACAUACUUCUUCGUGCACUUUUGGUCAAGAUUGGAAAGAGUUUUCCGAUCCAAUCUCUGCCAAGCUUGCACCUUCGUAUUGCUUUCUCCGGAGGGUAUUUGAGCUAAGGCAAUCACUCCAGGUUGUGGUUGUUAGUGAAGACUGGAAGCAAUGGAAGAAUAAUAUGGCAGAGGAUGUUGUAAAUGUUGAAUCUGCCAUUUUAGAUGAUGGGUUCUGGAGCAAGGCUGAUUUAUUGUUGCAGUUAUAUGAGCCUUUUGUAAGUUUGCUUGCUACAAUUGAUAUCGACAAAUCUGUUCUUGGUGCUGUUUAUGACUGGAGGGUUCAGGCACUUGAAGCCUUGAGGAGUCAGGCAAUUGAUGAUGGCAUAUUGAAUCAGUUAGAAGGACUGAUUGAGAACAGGUGGGAUGUUCUAUUUUCCCCUCUUCAUGCUGCAGGUUAUUUACUGAAUCCUAGAUAUAUUGGAAAAGGUCAAACAAAGGAUAAAUCUGUAAUGCGGGGCUGGAAAGCUACGCUAGAAAGAUAUGAGAGUGAAAGCACAGCCAGACGUGUUCUCAGAGAGCAGUUCAGCUCAUACUGGCGUCUGGAAGGAUCCAUGGGAGAGGAAGAUGCCGUGGAUUGUAGGGAUAAAAUGGAUCCAGUGGCUUGGUGGGAAAACUUCGGUUUUGAAACACCCAACUUACAAACACUAGCCAUAAAAGUUCUGAGCCAGGUUUCAAGUGUUGCAUUGUGCGAAGAGAUUUGGCAAGCUAGUGACUUCUCAUGUCGAGAAUCAGCAAACAGGUUGGGAGAGCAGAGAAUGGAAGAUCUUUUUUUUGUUCGAAACAAUCUCAGGCUUCAUGGUCAAAGAAAUGGGAAUCUGUGCUUCUCAUCUGGCCAAAGAAAUGCCUUUUCAAGCUCCUUUUCUGGAGUUAAGACAUGGGAUGGUCUGCAUCUUGAUCAAUCUAAUACAACGGUAGAUGUCCAUGACAAAUUAUGAAAUAGCUUGCUCCGCUUCUAAAUGGGCUCUGGACACCGACCAAAGUCGUGCAUCCAAUAAUCAGCAGGUUGCUUGUUAGCUGCCUGCAUUCACUGGACUUUGCUGUGCAUUAAUCAGGACGAUCUUUUAGGUUCUAAGUUACAGGCCAUGAUAUGAACUUGAGUUCAGGGCAGUUGAAUCAUCAGAAAGGGAAAAGAAAAUGCCUUUAAAUCUAAGAGCAUAAAAGAAGCACAAUCUCUAACCUAUAUACUCCAAGUUGAAUCUCAGUGACCAUCCAUACCUCCCCCUUUGAUGUACAAAAGAAGAAACAGGAAUGGAGCAGCAAGAAAGGGUCAGUCUACUUCGUAUUUGCUGGCCACGACAACAUUAAAACAUGUUUGACUCUUGACCCUAAUCCACAUGUGGCAUAAAUCACGGUACCUAAAACGUGUAUAAAUUUUGUUGUUUUAUGAGUGGAGGAGAGGGGUCAAUAUUAGAUUAUUA